GACGAACGCUGGCGGCGUGCUUAACACAUGCAAGUCGAACGGAAAGGCUCCAGCUUGCUGGCGUCCUCGAGUGGCGAACGGGUGAGUAACACGUGGGUGAUCUGCCCUGCACUUCGGGAUAAGCCUGGGAAACUGGGUCUAAUACCGGAUAGGACCGCACUUUGGUGUGUGUGGUGGAAAGGUUUUUCUGGUGUGGGAUGAGCUCGCGGCCUAUCAGUUUGUUGGUGGGGUAAUGGCCUACCAAGACGGCGACGGGUAGCCGGCCUGAGAGGGUGGACGGUCACAUUGGGACUGAGAUACGGCCCAGACUCCUACGGGAGGCAGCAGUGGGGAAUAUUGCACAAUGGGGGAAACCCUGAUGCAGCGACGCCGCGUGGGGGAUGAAGGCCUUCGGGUUGUAAACUCCUUUCGCUAGGGACGAAGCUUUUUGUGACGGUACCUGGAGAAGAAGCACCGGCUAACUACGUG
rnacentral:rRNA from 1 species